CUUCUACUCCCUCCGUUCGGAAUUACUUGUCUCAAAAAUGGAUGUAUCUAGAAUUAUUUUUAGUUCUAGAUACAUUCAUUUUCGAGACAAGUAAUUCCAAACGGAGGGAGUAUUUC
rfam:Triticum aestivum genome assembly, contig: Triticum_aestivum_CS42_TGACv1_scaffold_641629_T_2BL-0.194530_3B-0.128236